AGGGGGCAAGCGUUAUCCGGAUUUACUGGGUGUAAAGGGAGCGUAGACGGCAGCGCAAGUCUGGAGUGAAAUGCCGGGGCCCAACCCCGGAACUGCUUUGGAAACUGUGCAGCUUGAGUGCGGGAGAGGUAAGUGGAAUUCCUAGUGUAGCGGUGAAAUGCGUAGAUAUUAGGAGGAACACCAGUGGCGAAGGCGGCUUACUGGACCGUAACUGACGUUGAGGCUCGAAAGCGUGGGGAGCAAACAGGAUUAGAUACCCUGGUAGUCCACGCCGUAAACGAUGAUUACUAGGUGUCGGGGGACCAAGGUCCUCCGGUGCCGGCGCAAACGCAUUAAGUAAUCCACCUGGGGAGUACGUUCGCAAGAAUG
rnacentral:rRNA from 2 species